rnacentral:rRNA from 1 species
GAAGGCGUUAAGGGGAGCGAAAUCAAGUAGCGAAGCCGGUGACCGUAACUGUCAAGAAAAGCCGCUAUUGUAUCAUGUCAGCCCGUACCGCAAACCGACACAGGUGGAUGAGGAGAGAAUCCUAAGGCCGGCGGGAGAAGCAUUGUUAAGGAACUCGGCAAAAUGACCCCGUAACUUCGGGAGAAGGGGUGCUGCAGAGAUGCAGCCGCAGAGAAAAGGCUCAAGCAACUGUUUAGCAAAAACACAGGUCUAUGCGAAACCGUAAGGUGAAGUAUAUGGGCUGACGCCUGCCCGGUGCUGGAAGGUUAAGAGGAGAGGUCAGCGGGGAAACCCGCGAAGCUUUGAAUUUAAGCCCCAGUAAACGGCGGCCGUAACUAUAACGGUCCUAAGGUAGCGAAAUUCCUUGUCGGGUAAGUUCCGACCCGCACGAAAGGCGUAAUGAUUUGAGCGCUGUCUCAACAAUGCACCCGGUGAAAUUGAAGUACCAGUGAAGAUGCUGGUGACCUGCGCCAGGACGGAA